AAGAACUCGAGCCCAGAGCCUCUGGAUGGUUUCUGGUCGCAGUCCCGGAAAGCUCCUGGGGCAAAUCUGGCCGAGGGGCACCCAGGCCAACCUGCGAUCUGUGCCACCGCGCCAGAGAAGGCCAACGCCCACGGCAUCCUCCGUGCCUCCUCCCCGGCGGGUCCACUGUCCCUCUUCCCGCUCGCGGAAAGUGGGGCUUGCGGUCGCCAGGCGGCUGCGCCGAGGUGGGUGGGGGGUCCCCCUAUCGCCCAGACUGGGUUUGCGUCCUUCCUUCAACCUUAGCUGCGGCCCCUGCCACACUCAAUAACACCACUACGUUCUCUGCACCGAAACUUCCCGCCAAGCAACACCCAGCCAAUUAACCCCAUCCUCUCCUCCAACACAGAGUUCCACCCACGCACGUAGUCCCUCUCCCCGCGCUUCAGACACCCCUGUCAUCGGAAAACCUCGUGAAGGCAAGCAGACAAUCAGCAGAGGAACCUGGCUGAAUUAAUGGCGGCUCCCAGAAGCUCCUACCCCUCUGACAGCUGUCGCUUGGGCAGCCGGGGAGACGAAUCGUCCUCCUUCCUGGUGCCAGAGGACGCAGGAAAUUAGCCAGGUUGCGAGUUGCAAAGCGGCUGCGGCGGCGCCGGGACCUGGACGCGCCCCACCUCCAGCGGGAGCGGCCGGGCCGGGCCGGGACAGGGCCUCGUCUCGCUCGCCAUCGCCGGACAAAGCGCAGCCAAGCCCGGCUGGAAGGCAGAGCUCCGAAGCAGGCAGGACGGAGCGGAGCAAAAGAAUGCGGCUCUAUUCUCGCAAGGGAAAUUAUAAAAAAGUUCAUGUUCACGGUUCCCAUCCACAUGACCGACAGCGGCCAAUGGAAGGGCCGAACAACUCAUAAAGUUGUAUUGCAAAGUUGUAAAUUUUCAUAAACAACAACGGAUUUA